rnacentral:rRNA from 1 species
AGAUUGAACGCUGGCGGCAUGCCUUACACAUGCAAGUCGAACGGCAGCACGGGGGCAACCCUGGUGGCGAGUGGCGAACGGGUGAGUAACAUAUCGGAACGUGCCCUGGAGUGGGGGAUAACUAGUCGAAAGACUAGCUAAUACCGCAUACGAUCUACGGAUGAAAGUGGGGGAUCGCAAGACCUCAUGCUCGUGGAGCGGCCGAUAUCUGAUUAGCUAGUUGGUGGGUAAAGGCCUACCAAGGCAUCGAUCAGUAGCUGGUCUGAGAGGACGACCAGCCACACUGGGACUGAGACACGGCCCAGACUCCUACGGGAGGCAGCAGUGGGAAUUUUGGACAAGUGGGCGCAAGCCUGAUCCAGCAAUGCCGCGUGAGUGAAGAAGGCCUUCGGUUGUAAGCUACUUUGUCUAGGAAGAACGGUGAGGCUAAUAGUCUACUUGCUAAUGUACGUACCGUAGAAGA